AUUUACAGCCAUGCCACCCUGGACACACCUAACUUAGUCAAAGAUCAGAAGUAAAACAGGAUUUAGCCUUGUUAGUCCUUUAAUGGGAGCUGGUUUAGCAGGGGGAGCCGGUUUAGCUC
rnacentral:rRNA from 1 species